rnacentral:lncRNA from 1 species
AAGCACGAAUAUUUUCAUCCUCCCUUCGGCCUUCCACUGCUCUUACAGUGCCAACUAUAAUUAAGCACUGCUACUUCCACCUUGAUUUCCAUGAGCCCAGUAAGGUUUAGCAGGGGUGCGUCGUAAUGCCCUCACUCCCAAUGGGUUGUCCUUGCUCUGUUGCAGAAAAUUCAAGAAAGCACAUAAGAAAAAUAAAAAAAUAAUCAAAAAGAGAAAACCAGGACUGCUAAAUUUAAACUUGAAAGCUCAAAAGAAAAACAUCAAACGAUUUCUUAAUAGAAUCAUGCAAUGCAACCAAAUAGCUUGAAUUUAAAACAUGAAUAUCGAAAUAUUUGCCCAUUGGUCUUUGGCACACUGCUGCAAAGCCUAGAGCAGCCAAGCGUACCAACAAAAUUUAGCAUAUCUUACCAUCAAGCAGGUCCCAGCACGAACAUUACAGAUGGGAUAGUCAUGUGGGCAGCAGCUAUAGUGGUCAUCACAGCAGGUGGCAGCCUCAAGCGGGCAGCAUCCCCAUGCAAAGCAAGAGUUACCAUACUCAAAGACACAGCAGCAAGUGUUGCUCUCAGGGCAAGAGUAAUAAUUGUCACACACAGCAGGAGGCUUUGUUGGAGAUGGAGGGGACGGUCCAGGGUUGGGAGGAUUUUGGCCUUUCUUUAUGGGAUAUGAGGCCUCCAUGGCAAUUCCACACUUGCCCGUGAGAGUGCCAGCCACGUUACGCUCCAUCCUAAUAUAGCCAGCCUCUCCCCAGCUACUGCCCCAUGAAUUCUUCACAAUCCAGUAAUCAGCUCCAUUUUCUGUGCCAUAUCCAACAGCAGUAACACCAUGGUCCAGAGAUGUCCCACAUCUUCCCGUAAAUAUACCCUGAAAAUUUGCAAAGACAGAAAAAUAUACUUGAGACUUCCUUAAAACAGAUCAGACACACACAAGACUCUUCCUGAUCCUGUUUAGAAACCAUUAGAAAUACAAUAAUUUUUGUUCAAAUACCAUCCAGUAUUGUCUCAACCAUAUCUUUUCAGAACUGCAAAAUGCAAAUACUUUGUAUCUAGAUAAUAGCAACAUUCCUAAAUCUAAAAUGUGACAAGUGCCAUGAAGAGAUGAAAGUUAC